UACGGAAGGCAGCAGUGGGGAAUAUUGCACAAUGGGCGCAAGCCUGAUGCAGCCAUGCCGCGUGUAUGAAGAAGGCCUUCGGGUUGUAGAGUACUUUCAGUCGUGAGGAAGGUGUUAAGGUUAAUAACCUUAGCAAUUGACGUUAGCGACAGAAGAAGCACCGGCUAACUCCGUGCCAGCAGCCGCGGUAAUACGGAGGGUGCGAGCGUUAAUCGGAAUUACUGGGCGUAAAGGGCACGCAGGCGGUUAAUUAAGUUGGAUGUGAAAUCCCCGGGCUUAACCUGGGAAUGGCAUUCAAGACUGGUUAGCUAGAGUCUUGUAGAGGGGGUAGAAUUCCAUGUGUAGCGGUGAAAUGCGUAGAGAUGUGGAGGAAUACCGGUGGCGAAGGCGGCCCCUGGACAAAGACUGACGCUCAUGUGCGAAAGCGUGGGGAGCGAAACAGGAUUAGAUACC
rnacentral:rRNA from 1 species